rnacentral:rRNA from 1 species
ACGAACGCUGGCGGCGUGCUUAACACAUGCAAGUCGAACGGAAAGGCCCUGCUUUUGUGGGGUGCUCGAGUGGCGAACGGGUGAGUAACACGUGAGUAACCUGCCCUUGACUUUGGGAUAACUUCAGGAAACUGGGGCUAAUACCGGAUAGGAGCUCCUGCUGCAUGGUGGGGGUUGGAAAGUUUCGGCGGUUGGGGAUGGACUCGCGGCUUAUCAGCUUGUUGGUGGGGUAGUGGCUUACCAAGGCUUUGACGGGUAGCCGGCCUGAGAGGGUGACCGGCCACAUUGGCACUGCGAUACGGCCCAGACUCCUACGGGAGGCAGCAGUGGGGAAUAUUGCACAAUGGGCGGAAGCCUGAUGCAGCAACGCCGCGUGCGGGAUGACGGCCUUCGGGUUGUAAACCGCUUUCGCCUGUGACGAAGCGUGAGUGACGGUAAUGGGUAAAGAAGCACCGGCUAACUACGUG